CUAAAACUACAGCAAGAAAAAAAAUGUUAUGAAAGUAUGGAUUUCAUCUGUAAACGCAUUUCCCAUCAUUUCAAUGCUCGUAAUUUGUACAUUCCGUGUCAUUUUAAAUGCCGCAUUUUUAUAAGAAAGUUAACCUUAAUUCAUGUAAGCAUUGUUUUCAUGUCAGAGAAAUUCACAACAUCCUUUUCAUGCUCAUGUAGUGUACCUGUACAUCUUAUAUGGUUGUCACUGGACUGUAUUCAUUUGAUGGAUUUUAUGCAGAAAAUAAAUAUAUUC
rnacentral:sRNA from 1 species